CCUACGGGUGGCAGCAGUGAGGAAUAUUGGUCAAUGGGCGGAAGCCUGAACCAGCCAAGUAGCGUGCGGGAUGAAGGCCCUACGGGUCGUAAACCGCUUUUGCACGGGGAUAACACCCUCCACUUGUGGAGGUCUGCAGGUACCGUGCGAAUAAGGGCCGGCUAAUUCCGUGCCAGCAGCCGCGGUAAUACGGGGGGUGCAAGCGUUGUCCGGAAUCAUUGGGCGUAACGAGUUCGUAGGCGGCACGUAAAGUCUGGUGUUAAAGGCAGAGGCUCAACUUCUGUACGGCACUGGAUACUUGCGAGCUAGAAUGCGGUAGAGGUAAAGGGAAUUCCUGGUGUAGCGGUGAAAUGCUUAGAUAUCAGGAGGAACAUCGGUGGCGUAAGCGCUUUACUGGGCCGUAAUUGACGCUGAGGAACGAAAGCCAGGGUAGCAAAUGGGAUUAGAUACCCUUGUAGUC
rnacentral:rRNA from 1 species